rnacentral:rRNA from 1 species
AACGAACGCUGGCGGCAUGCCUAACACAUGCAAGUCGAACGAGACCUUCGGGUCUAGUGGCGCACGGGUGCGUAACGCGUGGGAACCUGCCCUUAGGUUCGGAAUAACUCCCCGAAAGGGGUGCUAAUACCGGAUAAUGUCUUCGGACCAAAGAUUUAUCGCCUUUGGAUGGGCCCGCGUUGGAUUAGCUAGUUGGUAGGGUAAAAGCCUACCAAGGCGACGAUCCAUAGCUGGUCUGAGAGGAUGAUCAGCCACACUGGGACUGAGACACGGCCCAGACUCCUACGGGAGGCAGCAGUGGGGAAUAUUGGACAAUGGGCGAAAGCCUGAUCCCGCAAUGCCGCGUGAGUGAUGAAGGCCUUAGGGUUGUAAAGCUCUUUUACCCGGGAUGAUACUGACAGUACCGGGAGAAUAAGCUCCGGCUACCUCCGUG